rnacentral:rRNA from 1 species
CGCCUGUUUACCAAAAACAUAGCCAUAAGAUGAUAUUUUUGGUUCAACCUGCCCAAUGUGAAAAUGAAUGGCCGCGGUACUCUGACCGUGCUAAGGUAGCGUAAUCAGUUGGCUUUUAAAUGGAGUCAGGUAUGAAUGGGAGAACCUGGUUCAGCUGUCUCUAAAUUAAUAAAUUGAAUUUACUGUUUAAGUGAAAAAGCUUAAUUUUAAUAAAGGGACGAGAAGACCCUUAGAAUUUUUUUUAAAGAAAUUUUAGUUUCUAUGGUUUUGUUGGGGCGACAAAGAAAGAAUUAAAACUUUCUUUUAAUUGACUUGCCGAUUUUGUUAAGAAAGAAUAAAUUACCUGAGGGAUAACAGCAUAAUUCUAAAAUUGAGUUUGUGACCUCGAUGUUGGACUAGGAAACUAGCAGGCUAGCCGUUUGCUUUGUGGGUUCUGUUCGAACUAAAAUUCCU